rnacentral:rRNA from 1 species
AACGAACGCUGGCGGCAGGCUUAACACAUGCAAGUCGAACGCAUCCUUCGGGGUGAGUGGCAGACGGGUGAGCAACGCGUGGGAACGUGCCCUUCAGUUCGGGAUAACCCAGGGAAACUUGGGCUAAUACCGGAUACGUGCGAGAGCAGAAAGAUUUAUCGCUGAAGGAUCGGCCCGCGUCUGAUUAGCUAGUUGGUGGGGUAAUGGCCCACCAAGGCGACGAUCAGUAGCUGGUCUGAGAGGAUGAUCAGCCACAUUGGGACUGAGACACGGCCCAAACUCCUACGGGAGGCAGCAGUGGGGAAUAUUGGACAAUGGGCGCAGGCCUGAUCCAGCCAUGCCGCGUGAGUGAUGAAGGCCUUAGGGUUGUAAAGCUCUUUCGUCCGGGACGAUAAUGACGGUACCGGAAGAAGAAGCCCCGGCUAACUUCGUGCCAGCCGCCGCAGUAA